UACGUAGGUGGCGAGCGUUGUCCGGAUUUACUGGGCGUAAAGGGAGCGUAGGCGGACUUUUAAGUGAGAUGUGAAAUACCCGGGCUUAACUUGGGUGCUGCAUUUCAAACUGGAAGUCUAGAGUGCAGGAGAGGAGAAGGGAAUUCCUAGUGUAGCGGUGAAAUGCGUAGAGAUUAGGAAGAACACCAGUGGCGAAGGCGAUUCUCUGGACUGUAACUGACGCUGAGGCUCGAAAGCGUGGGGAGCAAACAGGAUUAGAUACCCCGGUAGUCCCUGA
rnacentral:rRNA from 1 species